rnacentral:rRNA from 1 species
AACGCGAAGAACCUUACCAGGGCUUGACAUACGCGGAAAUCUCACAGAGAUGUGAGGUCCUUAGGGGCCGUGUACAGGUGGUGCAUGGCUGUCGUCAGCUCGUGUCGUGAGAUGUUGGGUUAAGUCCCGCAACGAGCGCAACCCUCGUUCUAUGUUGCCAGCACGUAAUGGUGGGGACUCAUAGGAGACUGCCGGGGUCAACUCGGAGGAAGGUGGGGAUGACGUCAAGUCAUCAUGCCCCUUAUGUCCUGGGCUGCACACAUGCUACAAUGGCCGGUACAAUGGGCUGCUAAGCCGUGAGGUGGAGCGAAUCCCAAAAAGCCGGUCUCAGUUCGGAUUGGGGUCUGCAACUCGACCCCAUGAAGUCGGAGUCGCUAGUAAUCGCAGAUCAGCAACGCUGCGGUGAAUACGUUCCCGGGCCUUGUACACACCGGUACUAC